rnacentral:rRNA from 1 species
CCUACGGGUGGCUGCAGUGGGGAAUAUUGCACAAUGGGCGCAAGCCUGAUGCAGCCAUGCCGCGUGUGUGAAGAAGGCCUUCGGGUUGUAAAGCACUUUCAGCGGGGAGGAAGGCGUUAAGGUUAAUAACCUUGUCGAUUGACGUUACCCGCAGAAGAAGCACCGGCUAACUCCGUGCCAGCAGCCGCGGUAAUACGGAGGGUGCAAGCGUUAAUCGGAAUUACUGGGCGUAAAGCGCACGCAGGCGGUCUGUCAAGUCGGAUGUGAAAUCCCCGGGCUCAACCUGGGAACUGCAUUCGAAAAUGGCAGGGUAGAGUCUUGUAGAGGGGGGUAGAAGUCCAGGUGUACCGGUGAAAUGCGUAGAGAUCUGGAGGAAUACCGGGGGCGAAGGCGGCCCCCUGGACAAAGACUGACGCUCAGGUGCGAAAGCGUGGGGAGCAAACAGGAUUAGAUACCCGUGUAGUC